rnacentral:rRNA from 1 species
CUUGUAAGAGGUCCAGCCUGCCCUGUGACGUUUAACGGCCGCGGUAUUUUAACCGUGCGAAGGUAGCGCAAUCACUUGUCUUUUAAAUGGAGACCUGUAUGAAUGGCAUUACGAGGGCUUAACUGUCUCCUUUUUCAAGUCAGUGAAAUUGAUCUCCCCGUGCAGAAGCGGGGAUACACCCAUAAGACGAGAAGACCCUAUGGAGCUUUUUGGUUGGGGCGACCGCGGGGCCCCAACCAAGAGCUCUAAUUAACAGAUUCUGACCAGAUCCGGGAUCAACGGACCGAGUUACCCUAGGGAUAACAGCGCAAUCCCCUUUUAGAGCCCAUAUCGACAAGGGGGUUUACGACCUCGAUGUUGGAUCAGGACAUCCUAAUGGUGCAGCCGCUGUUUAAGGGUUUCGUUUGUUCAACGAUUAAAGUCGCCUAGCCGUAAACAUUGAUAGAUCUAUCCGCCUGGGUACUACGAGCAUCAGCUUGAAACCCAAAGGACUUGGCGGUACUUUAGAUCCCCCUAGAGGAGCCUGUUCUAUAACCGAUGACCCCCGUUCAACCUCACCCUCCCUUGCCCGCCUAUAUACCGCCGUCGUCAGCUUACCCUGUGAAGGUCUAAUAGUAAGCAAAAUUGG